UGGGGAAUUUUGGACAAUGGGGGAAACCCUGAUCCAGCCAUCCCGCGUGUGCGAUGAAGGCCUUCGGGUUGUAAAGCACUUUUGGCAGGAAAGAAACGUCGCGGGUUAAUACCCCGCGAAACUGACGGUACCUGCAGAAUAAGCACCGGCUAACUACGUGCCAGCAGCCGCGGUAAUACGUAGGGUGCAAGCGUUAAUCGGAAUUACUGGGCGUAAAGCGUGCGCAGGCGGUUCGGAAAGAAAGAUGUGAAAUCCCAGAGCUUAACUUUGGAACUGCAUUUUUAACUACCGGGCUAGAGUGUGUCAGAGGGAGGUGGAAUUCCGCGUGUAGCAGUGAAAUGCGUAGAUAUGCGGAGGAACACCGAUGGCGAAGGCAGCCUCCUGGGAUAACACUGACGCUCAUGCACGAAAGCGUGGGGAGCAAACAGGAUUAGAUACCCUGGUAGUCCACGCCCUAAACGAUGUCAACUAGCUGUUGGGGCCUUCGGGCCUUGGUAGCGCAGCUAACGCGUGAAGUUGACCGCCUGGGGAGUACGGUCGCAAGAUUAAAACUUAAAU
rnacentral:rRNA from 1 species